AUUCGCCCUUAGAGUUUGAUCCUGGCUCAGGAUGAACGCUGGCGGCGUGCUUAACACAUGCAAGUCGAACGGGGAUGCUUAUGGAAGGAGUGCUUGCACUUUGGAAAUGAGUAUCUUAGUGGCGGACGGGUGAGUAACGCGUGGGCAACCUGCCCCAUAGAGGGGGACAACAGCUGGAAACUGCUGCUAAUACCGCAUAACAAGGAGAGAGCGCAUGUUCUUUUCUUCAAAGAUUUAUCGCUAUGGGAUGGACCCGCGUCUGAUUAGCUGGUUGGUGAGGUAACGGCUCACCAAGGCGACGAUCAGUAGCCGGCUUGAGAGAGUGGACGGCCACAUUGGGACUGAGACACGGCCCAGACUCCUACGGGAGGCAGCAGUGGGGGAUAUUGCACAAUGGGGGGAACCCUGAUGCAGCGACGCCGCGUGAGUGAAGGAGCGUUUCGGCGCGUAAAGCCCUAUCGGCAGGGAAGAAGAUGACGGUACCUGACCAAGAAGCCCCGGCUAACUACGUGCCAGCAGCCGCGGUAAUACGUAGGGGGCAAGCGUUAUCCGGAUUUACUGGGUGUAAAGGGGGCGCACACCGCCAUGCAAGCCAGGAGUGAAAGCCCGGGGCCCAACCCCGGGACUGCUCUUGGAACUGCAUGGCUGGAGUACAGGAGGGG
rnacentral:rRNA from 1 species